GAUGAACGCUGGCGGCGUGCCUAACACAUGCAAGUCGAACGGACCUGACUUGAAACCUAGUGAUUGUCAGGUUAGUGGCGGACGGGUGAGUAACGCGUGGAUAACCUGCCGUAUGCAGGGGGAUAACAGCUGGAAACAGCUGCUAAUACCGCAUAAGCGCACGGUACCGCAUGGUAUUGUGUGAAAAGAUUUAUCGGCAUACGAUGGAUCCGCGUCCGAUUAGCCGGUUGGCGGGGUAACGGCCCACCAAAGCAACGAUCGGUAGCCGGCCUGAGAGGGCGGACGGCCACAUUGGGACUGAGACACGGCCCAA
rnacentral:rRNA from 1 species